rnacentral:rRNA from 1 species
UACGAAGGGUGCAAGCGUUAAUCGGAAUUACUGGGCGUAAAGCGUGCGUAGGCGGUUUCUUAAGUCUGCUGUGAAAUCCCCGGGCUCAACCUGGGAAUGGCAGUGGAUACUGGACGGCUAGAGUGUGUCAGAGGAUGGUGGAAUUCCCGGUGUAGCGGUGAAAUGCGUAGAGAUCGGGAGGAACAUCAGUGGCGAAGGCGGCCAUCUGGGACAACACUGACGCUGAGGCACGAAAGCGUGGGGAGCAAACAGG